rnacentral:rRNA from 1 species
GUGGGGGAUAUUGCACAAUGGAGGAAACUCUGAUGCAGCGACGCCGCGUGAGUGAAGAAGUAUUUCGGUAUGUAAAGCUCUAUCAGCAGGGAAGAUAAUGACAGUACCUGACUAAGAAGCCCCGGCUAACUACGUGCCAGCAGCCGCGGUAAUACGUAGGGGGCAAGCGUUAUCCGGAUUUACUGGGUGUAAAGGGAGCGUAGACGGAAUGGCAAGUCUGAAGUGAAAUCCUGCGGCUUAACUGCAGAAUUGCUUUGGAAACUGUCAAUCUGGAGUGUUGGAGAGGUAAGCGGAAUUCCUGGUGUAGCGGUGAAAUGCGUAGAUAUCAGGAAGAACACCGGAGGCGAAGGCGACUUACUGGACAAUAACUGACGUUGAGGCUCGAAAGCGUGGGAAGCAAACAGGAUUAGAUACCCUGGUAGUCC